GUGUGGUGUGCAAUGGAAGAUCUUGGCUGUGCUCGUGGCUAAGAAGGCACGGAAGGUUGGCUGGGAUGCUCCAUGCACACGUGGAAGAAAGGGACUUGUCUUAAUGGUUGAAUGCAUGAACAAAUUGAAUGCGAAUGGCUGAGAUGUAAUGCAGGAAAAUUGGGAUGAACGGUUGUUGCCCCAGGUGACAACCCAAGAGGGGGGGUGAAUUGGAUUUUCUAAAAAUUAUGUUUCCUAAUUUUUACUUUGAAUAGAAUGCAGCGGAAUGAUAAGAUGUUAUUUACUUAAGCUCUAGGCAAGCAGUGGAAAAUUAAGCUAGAGCAAUUAUACUGUGGCUUUAGGGUGCAAUUGAUCUAAAAUUAACUUAUAGUUGUAUGAUCAAUUUUAAUCUAUGUGUAUGGUAAGAAUGGAGUGGAAGCUAAGCAAAUUCUAAACAAUCACUUGUAACUCUAUAGAAAACAAAGCUAGAGAUAUUACACAAUCAAGCAUGAAUGUGAGGCAUGAAAUACAAGAGAUAAGGCAUCACAAACACAAAGAUGUAUAGUGGUUCGGUGCACCCCAGCACCUACAUCCACUCCCCAAGACCUCUUGGGAAUUUUACUAUAAUCCCUCAGAUUACAGUUGGUUGUUUUACAAGCUCACAAUCCAACUUGUUGUUUUGCGAGAUCACAACGAACUCGGUCGGUUUUCACAGGCUCACCGACUAAAACCAACUGAUUGUUUUCACAGGCUCACAAUCCAACCCAGUUGAUUUUUCCAAAGGCUCACCAACCACAACCUUACAACGAUUGUUUUCCGGGUUCACAAUCAACCCAGUUGGUUUUUCCAAAGGCUCACCAACCACAACCUUACAAUGAUUGUUUUUCGGGUUCACAAUCAACCCAGUUGGUUUUCCCAAAGGCUCACCAACCACAA
rnacentral:lncRNA from 1 species